CACCGCGGUUAUACGAGUAACUCACAUUAAUACUUUCCCGGCGUAAAGAGUGAUUUAAGGAAUAUCUAUAAUAACUAAAGUUAAGACCUCAUCAAGCUGUUACACGCACUCACGAGUGGAAUUAUCAAUAACGAAAGUGACUUUACCCCACCAGAAAUCUUGACGUCACGACAGUUAGACCCCAAACUAGGAUUAGAUA
rnacentral:rRNA from 1 species